GAUGAACGCUAGCUACAGGCUUAACACAUGCAAGUCGAGGGGCAGCGGGAUUGAAGCUUGCUUCAAUUGCCGGCGACCGGCGCACGGGUGAGUAACGCGUAUCCAACCUUCCGCUUACUCGGGGAUAGCCUUUCGAAAGAAAGAUUAAUACCCGAUGGUAUCUUAAGCACGCAUGAGAUUAAGAUUAAAAGAUUUAUCGGUAAGCGAUGGGGAUGCGUUCCAUUAGGCAGUUGGCGGGGUAACGGCCCACCAAACCUACGAUGGAUAGGGGUUCUGAGAGGAAGGUCCCCCACAUUGGAACUGAGACACGGUCCAA
rnacentral:rRNA from 1 species